rnacentral:rRNA from 1 species
AACGAACGCUGGCGGCGUGCCUAACACAUGCAAGUCGGACGGACUCAUUUUGAAGUAGCAAUACGGAGAGAUGAGUUAGUGGCGGACGGGUGAGUAACACGUAGGUAACCUACCCUUAAGCGGGGGACAACUCAGGGAAACUUGAGCUAAUACCGCAUAAGACCACGGGCUGAGAUGCCAGUGGGAAAAGGAGCAAUCCACUUAAGGAUGGGCCUGCGGCCUAUCAGGUAGUUGGUGAGGUAACGGCCCACCAAGCCAGAGACGGGUAGCCGGGCUGAGAGGUUGAACGGCCACACUGGAACUGAGAUACGGUCCAGACUCCUACGGGAGGCUG